UGAUCUAUCCACUGGGACACCUAGCUGCUUACAUGAUUACUGUCGUAAGAGGUGGUAUGGAGUAAUAGAGAAGGAACCUUGGAAUCAGGAACAUCAUUGCUGUCACAUCUACUGACUUUGUGAGCCUGACUCAUUUUACAGAUGAGGAAACUGAGGCAAACAGGGCUGGGUUGCCUAGGUUCACAAGCUGGUUUCUGAGGCCAGAUUUGAACUCUUGAAGAGGCAUCUUCCCAAUUCUGAUUCUGCUUACCAGCCCGGUCUUCAACACCUAGCUGCCCCACCCAUCUCCUGAGAGGUGAACCCAGAAUACAGAUUGAGACAUAUUUUUUCUACAUGGCCAAAGCAGACAUAUGUUUUGUUCAACUCUUCAUGUUGGUCCUCUGUGACUGAAUCAUUGGAAGGAAGGAAGGAGAACUGGCUUGGAGACCCUCUCCCUUACACUGGUUAUAUUCUAGGUCUUUUAUGACUGCAUUAUUUCAGGUGGGAAAAGAACUUCCUCUCUUAACUCAAUUGAUGAGCAUGAGAAGAGAAUUUAAAAUGGAGGAGGUGGUAAGGGGAGCAGGUCAACUUUGGAAAGAGUAUCAAUGAUGAGAUAUCUCCCUCACUGUGUUUGGCUCAAGAUGAUGUUAAGAUGAGUUUGCGUUUCCUCAGUAUACGCCAUCAUCCUAGUUAUGGAGAAGCCAAAAGUGUCCUGACCUGUGCAAUAGACUGGAAACAGAGUGGGUGCCCAUUGAUUGAGGAUUGGCUGUGUAUGACAUGUGAAUGUGAUGAAUUAAUAAAUGACAACUUUGAGGAAUUUAAAGACACAUGAGAAGACUUGAAUGACCUGAUGCAGAGUGAAUCAAGUACCUGUUGUUUGUCAUUCAUUUUUGAAGAGGACCAAUUACAUU